rnacentral:rRNA from 1 species
CCCGGAUGUUAGCGGCGGACGGGUGAGUAACACGUGGGUAACCUGCCUGUAAGACUGGGAUAACUCCGGGAAACCGGAGCUAAUACCGGAUAGUUCCUUGAACCGCAUGGUUCAAGGAUGAAAGACGGUUUCGGCUGUCACUUACAGAUGGACCCGCGGCGCAUUAUCUAUUUGGGGGGGUAAUGGCUCACCAAGGCGACAAUGCGUAUCCCACCUGAGAGGGUGAUCGGCCACACUGGGACUGAGACACGGCCCACACUCCUACGGGAGGCAGCAGUAGGGAAUCUUCCCCAAUGGACAAAAGUCUGACAGAGCAACGCCCCGUGAGUGAUGAAGGUUUUCGGAUCGUAAAGCUCUGUUGUUAGGGAAAAAAAAGUGCGAGAGUAACUGCUCGCACCUUGACGGUACCUAA